rnacentral:rRNA from 1 species
CCUACGGGAGGCAGCAGUGGGGCAUAUUGCACAAUGGGGGAAACCCUGAUGCAGCGCCGCCGCGUGAGAGAAGAAGUAUUUCGGUAUGUAAAGCUCUAUCCGCAGGGAAGAAGAUGACGGUCCCUGAGUAAGAAGCCCCGGCUAACUACGUUCCAGCAGCCGCGGUAAUACGUAGGGGGCCAGCGUUAUCCGGAUUUACUGAGUGUAAAGGGAGCGUAGACGGUGGGACAAGUCUGAAGUGAAAUCCCGGGGCUUAACCCCGGAACUGCGUUGGAAACUGCGUGCAUGGAGUGCUGGAGAGGCAAGCGGAAUUCGUAGUGUAGCGGUGAAAUGCGUAGAUAUUAGGAAGAACACCAGUGGCGAAGGCGGCUUACUGGACAGUAACUGACGUUGAGGCUCGAAAGCGUGGGGAGCAAACAGGAUUAGAUACCCUAGUAGUC